CCCAAAAUAGGAGAAAAAGGUGACAAAUUCCUAAAAUAGUUGACAAAAGGUGACAACAUUGAAAAUAGGUGACAAAAGGUGACUCUGUGCUGACUGAGGUUCAUUUCCUACUGUAGCUUUGGUAAUCUUCGAAAAUGAUUAACUUUUCACGAGACCUCGGAACACACGUAAAACGCUAUAGGUGGAUUCUGAAAUGUCAACUCAGAAACCUCCAAAAAAAAAGGAGUACUAAAGGGCGAAUGAUCUAUUUAAAAAAAAUCCUCAUUGAAUGUUUAGAUUUGAAGGAGAAAAAUCUCUCCCGAAGUUGAUAUUAUUUAAACGUUUGAAAGCCGGAAAGCAUUCUUGUAUCGAGGAUUAAAGCCAAAAAGCUGGAGGUGUAUCAGAAGACUCGAAAUCUCAUUCUGCAAGCCCAAGAAAGUGCUGAAAUACAAACAGUUUCGAACAGCAUGCAUCCUGGAUCACGAGAGCGAGAAAGGCCGCAAAAUGAAAUAUCUAAGAACACUGUACGACUUUUCGUCGUUAGCUUUUACGGUCACAUACAUUUAAUCAGCAGGGUGAACUACCAAUUGAGUUGUACAAG